AGUUUUGCUAAAAUUUCACACAUUGCAGCAAAAAAUUCUCUAAUUUUCCCAAUCAACAUGACUCAAGAUGGAACAAGAUGUGUCAUUGAAGGGGAUAGUGAAGAUAGAAUCAGUGGUUUACCAAGAAAUGUUAUCGAUCGUAUCCUUGAGCUCAUACCAGUUGAAGAUGCAGCAAGAACUAGUAUUUUGUCUCGAAACUGGAGAUAUAUUUGGGCAACAUUUCCAAAUCUUGUGCUGGAUUACCGCUUCUGUCGUAAUUUUGAAGGAAAGUUGGAAUUCAACUUCAAAGAAGCGGUAGAUUGUAUUCUGUUAAUGCAUAUGGGGGACAUUGUGAAGUUUGUUCUUCAUACUAGAGGAAUUUUUUCUGCAAAUUCUUCCUAUGCAAUUAUCGAUAGAUGGAUUCUCUAUGUCACCAGAAAUGGAGUCAAGAUACUAACCCUUCGCACUUCAAAUGAUGAUACCUAUACUCUGCCCUCUUCUAUUUUUAAUUGUUCAACUUUGACAUAUUUGGAACUCCUCUCCAACUGUGUCUUCAAACCACCCAAUCCCUUUCUUGGUUUUCAGAAUCUUAUUACCCUUCAUCUGGAAGGGACAACCUUUGUGCCAGCCACAUCAUUUUGUGUUAUCAAGGCUCCCCUUCUUGCCAGAUUGGAUUUGAUCUUGUGUCGUGGUACGCAAUACCUAAACAUUGUUUCACCAGGGCUGAAGUUCUUGUACAUUCGGGACAGUCACUCAUAUCUCGUGCUAGAUUGCUUUAUGAACUGCAAGAAUAUAAGACUGUUAAAACUUGAAUUUAACAGAGUGGUUGAUGAUCCAACAAAUGAUAAAAUAUCAACUUUGGAGAAGCUUCUUAUUAGCUCUCCUUCACUUGAGGUACUCCGUUUAGAUUCAUUCUUUGUUGAGCGUGCACGCAUUGUUCCGAAUGGGCAACCUUCUACACUCAACUGCUUGUGGCAUCUAUAUUUAGAUGUAGACUUCAGCAAAAUGGGUCAGAUUUCUAAUGUUCUGCAGUUAAUUAAGAGUUCCCCCAAUUUGAGGAAACUCCGUAUUUCGGUCCAUGCUACAAGUGACAAUGCUGAAGCAAUCUUGAUACGCCAUCCUGCCUGGAACAACCACUCGACAAGCUAGAGCACAUUUUCAUCAACUUUUUUAGGAGAUCAAAAACUGAACUGCUUUUUGUAAAGCUAUUGCUUUCUCGCACUCCAUCUCUUUUAAAGAUGUGCAUUGACCAGGUUGCAGACAUAGACGUUGAUAUUGCCUUAGAAUUGAUGCGUUUCCCCAGGGCUUCUCCGAGGGCAGAGCUAUUCUAUUCUCGGAUAACUCUGUGA